rnacentral:rRNA from 1 species
GACGAACGCUGGCGGCGUGCUUAACACAUGCAAGUCGAACGGAAAGGCCCUGCUCUUGUGUGGUUCUCGUGUGGCGCAGGGGGGAGUAACACGUGUGUAACCUGCCCUUGUCUUUGGGAUAACUUCUGGGAACUGCGGCUCUUACAGGAUAUGAGCUCUUGCUGCGCGGUGGGGGAUGGUAAGUUUCGGCGGUUGUGGCUCGUCUCGCGGGUUAUCCGCUUGUUGGUGGGGUAGUGGCUGACAAAGGCUUUGACGGGUAGCCGGCCUGAGAGGGUGAACGGCGACAAUGCGACUGAGAGAGGCCGCAGACGCGUACGGGAGGCAGCAGUGGAGAGUAUUGCGGAAUGGGGGGAAGCCAGAUGCAGCAACGCCGCGAGCGGGAUGACGGCCUACGAGUUGAAAACCGAUGUCGCCUGAGACGAAGAGAGAGUGACGGUAAUGGGUAAAGAAGCACCGGCUAACUACGUG